AUUGAACGCUGGCGGCAGGCUUAACACAUGCAAGUCGAGCGGGGUGAUGGUGCUUGCACUAUCACUUAGCGGCGGACGGGUGAGUAAUGCUUAGGAAUCUGCCUAUUAGUGGGGGACAACAUUUCGAAAGGAAUGCUAAUACCGCAUACGUCCUACGGGAGAAAGCAGGGGAUCUUCGGACCUUGCGCUAAUAGAUGAGCCUAAGUCGGAUUAGCUCGUUGGUGGGGUAAAGGCCUACCAAGGCGACGAUCUGUAGCGGGUCUGAGAGGAUGAUCCGCCACACUGGGACUGAGACACGGCCCAGAAUCCUACGGGAGGCAGCAGUGGGGAAUAUUGGACAAUGGGCGGAAGCCUGAUCCAGCCAUGCCGCGUGUGUGAAGAAGGCCUUUUGGUUGUAAAGCACUUUAAGCGAGGAGGAGGCUACCUGGAUUAAUACUCUAGGAUAGUGGACGUUACUCGCAGAAUAAGCACCGGCUAACUCUGUGCCAGCCGCCGCCGUAAAAC
rnacentral:rRNA from 1 species